AUUUCACCCUGCCUUGACUGGCAUCAAAAGUGAGGAUGCCUACUCUGAUCCCAGCAACAAGGAGUAGAGUAAAGUCUCCAGUACUAACAGUGAGUCCCUGGAGUUGGUGGGAGUAAUCACGUAAUGAAAUCUACAUUUAAGGAAAUGCAUUUUGGCAGCGGUGGGUAAGAUGAAAUGGACUGGGGAGAGGCAUGAGGUGAUGGCUCACUUCUAGACGAGAAACAGAAGGGUUUGAACUAGGUGAGAGUUGGGCAAGAGGAGAGAAGUAUGGGAGAUGUGAAGGCAGGAAAGACAAGAUUGGGAAACUGUUUAUGUCGAAGUUAAGGCGGAGUCCAGGAUCAGAUUGAGAUCAGGAACCUGAGAGAUUGGAAGGACGGUAGUGCCAGAAAUAGGGAAUCAAU
rnacentral:lncRNA from 1 species